GCUGCGAUGGCCGAGUGGUUAAGGCGUUGGACUCGAAUUCCAAUGGGAUAUUCACCGCGCCACGGUUCGAAUCCUGUUCGCAGCG
rnacentral:tRNA from 1 species